rnacentral:rRNA from 1 species
CCUACGGGUGGCAGCAGUGAGGAAUAUUGGUCAAUGGGCGAGAGUCUGAACCAGCCAAGUAGCGUGAAGGAAGAAGGCGCCAUGCGUCGUAAACUUCUUUUGUCGGGGAAUAAAGGGCGCCACGCGUGGCGUUGUGAGUGUACCCGAAGAAAAAGGAUCGGCUAACUCCGUGCCAGCAGCCGCGGUAAUACGGAGGAUGCGCGCGUUAUCCGGAUUUAUGGGGUUUAAAGGGUGCGUAGGCGGUGCGUAAAGUCCGCGGUAAAAGCCCGGGGCUCAACCGAGGCGUGCCGUUGAAACUGUCAGACUAGAGACGGCGAGAAGUACGCGGAAUGCGCGGUGUAGCGGUGAAAUGCAUAGAUAUCGCGCAGAACUCCGAUUGCGAAGGCAGUGUACCGG